rnacentral:rRNA from 1 species
AAUACUGGAUAAUCCUUUCCUUCUCAUGAGGGAAAGCUGAAAGACGGUUUCGGCUGUCACUUACAGAUGGGCCCGCGGCGCAUUAGCUAGUUGGUGAGGUAACGGCUCACCAAGGCGACGAUGCGUAGCCGACCUGAGAGGGUGAUCGGCCACACUGGGACUGAGACACGGCCCAGACUCCUACGGGAGGCAGCAGUAGGGAAUCUUCCGCAAUGGACGAAAGUCUGACGGAGCAACGCCGCGUGAGCGAUGAAGGCCUUCGGGUCGUAAAGCUCUGUUGUUAGGGAAGAACAAGUACCGGAGUAACUGCCGGUACCUUGACGGUACCUAACCAGAAAGCCACGGCUAACUACGUGCCAGCAGCCGCGGUAAUACGUAGGUGGCAAGCGUUGUCCGGAAUUAUUGGGCGUAAAGCG